UACGUAGGGAGCAAGCGUUGUCCGGAAUCAUUGGGCGUAAAGAGCGUGUAGGCGGCCCGGUAAGUCGGUUGUGAAAGUCAAGGGCUCAACCCUUGAAAGCCGACCGAUACUGUCGGGCUAGGAUCCGGAAGAGGCGAGUGGAAUUCCUGGUGUAGCGGUGAAAUGCGCAGAUAUCAGGAGGAACACCGAUGGCGAAGGCAGCUCGCUGGGACGGUAUUGACGCUGAGACGCGAAAGCGUGGGGAGCAAACAGG
rnacentral:rRNA from 1 species